rnacentral:tRNA from 1 species
AAACUCAGCCAUCUUAUUUAUAUUUUGUUAUUUUUCUAUAAAAAUAAUCUAUACUAAUUUUAAAUAAAA